rnacentral:lncRNA from 1 species
UUUGCACACUCGCGUAUGACAGCAGAAACGACGCAUACGCAUUAAAUAUACAAUUAAUAGUUUAAUUGACGAUACCGAAAUUCGCAGAAGAAAUUUGGAUAAAAAAAAAUUGAAAUGAAAAGAAAAGUUUGACGGAUAAAAGUAGAGAAAGAACUCGACGUAAUCGAAAAUGAAGUUGGUCGUUAACGACAAUGUUUUAAUAUGAAAUUGACGAGGGUGAAAUAAAGAAGGAAUAAAAAAUGGAAGAUGUGACGGGAAAAUGAUGAAAAUUUCAACAAAAAAAAAAAUCCUGCAACGUUCGUGCACCUUUCUUUCAAUCGUCAGGAAUCGAGGGUAUAGGGAAUAAUUUAUUCUAUGCUGUGAGAAACAAAUGAAAAGUUUAACCUUUGUCGCGUAUAUGAUAUCCGCUUUGACAAUGAAAGGGCGAGAACUAAUAUAACAUUGAUUGAAAAGAAAUAAUUCCAUUUAUGUGGUUAUGUAUAAUAACGCCACGCGGGUCUCGAACAAGAUGGCGUUUUCCACAUAUAGCACAGAUUACAGAUACAUAAACUUAAUACAUAUGUAUAUAAUAUUCAUAUAUGUAUACAUAUAUUUCAGUAAAAUCAGAUAGUGGUUGAUCGCGCGGGUGAGCUCAAUAGCUCGAGGGUUGGUUUAAUUAAACUUAUAUAACUAUUAUCUGCAUUGAAUUCAACUUCACUCAGGUCAGGUUGUGUCUUAUUAAAUUCGUAGAGAAUUCCCGGCAUUUUCGAUAUAACUAUCAAAUAAGUUAUGGCUCUAAUAAUUAUGGCUAUAUCUUUACCGUAAAUAAUUACGAUUCCGCUAAACUUAGCUAUUAAAUAAGGGGAAAAAAAAUUUCUCAAAUUUCAAUUUCAUUAUCAUUUAUUACGUCAUUAUGUGCAAUAUUCCCGUUUUACAAUUAUCGCAAACUACACUAUAUCGCAGCAAAUUUAUACAGUGGCGCUGUUCCGUGUAUAUUCAUAUCAAUGUAAUAAUUGUAAAGAAAGAAAGAGACACGAAAAAACGAAGUAGUUGGACAUCAGAAUCGACGAACGCACCGAUAUAAUUUUUGUUUCAUAGGUGCGAUGUGAGGAAUUUUUAUCAACUCGCGUUUACAAUUCAUCGAUCUCAUGUACAUGUACGUUAUAUAACAUACAUUCGUAUCUAUGUGCACAGAUUCAACAGAACUCUUAAAACUUAUUCGGAAAAAUUGAGGGCGAAAUGAGGGGAAGAGAAGAAAAAAAACGAGAGAACCAAAUUGUAAAACUCAAAAUGAAAAUGCUCUCUACGGAUAUAUACACAUAGAUGUAUGUGUAUACGUACCAAUACACACGUGACACAUAUAUAGGUCAGAGAUCAAAGUUGAAGACGGAAAUACCUUUCGCAUCUUAGCGCAGAUUACAUACCAAUGCACAUACGUGGAUAUUUAUGCGGAGGGAAAUUGAGGGUGGAACAAGAAGAGAAGUGAAAGAAAAAAUAGAAAAAAUAUGAAAAUAAUGAAAAAGCACUUUGAGGAUAAUGUAGGUGCACAUAUAUACGUACACGUGUAUGUCAGGUCAUGCGUGUAUACAUUAUUAUGUAUACUUUUAUAUUUAUAGUAAGAAAAAACGAGAUGAAAAAAAAACGAAUCGAGUCCCGUGAUCAAAGAAUGAAAAAGGAAAUAACUUCCGCAUCCUUAGCGCACAUACCAUUCCUCUUGUAAAUGUUAUACAGAGAUGCAUAUACAUGUGUACUGUAUCUACAUAUAGGUACUUAUAGAUUGCACAGAAAAUUGGUGAUGCAGAGAGAUGAGAUAUCUUACAAGCACAGGGUGUCCAAAUUCAAACAGAGUAUAAGAUGACGUGUUCGAUAUAAUUCUGGAAAACGAUGAGAGAAUUUUUGUAUCUAUUCUUUCCCACGAAAUUCGAUUUUUCUAUUUCAAUAUUAGAACUAAUCGGGUUAGAAUUCAAAUUGAGCACUAAUUGAGAAACAAUUUUUUUGUACUAAUAAUUGAACACCCCGUAUAUCAAGUGUGGGGGUGGAGCAACCUUGAAUAAUGUGUGUUAUGUGGGGGUACAUACAAUAAGUGUAUGUAAAUACGUAUGUAUUCAUGUAUUCGAUAUACAUGUUGUACACCUUUCUAGUUCAAUCGACCAAUUCCAUUGGCAUAAUGCUGACGAGAGUGGAUGGAAAGGAAGCCUGAGGGAUCCGACUAAAGGAAGCGAGAUUCCUUCUCGCUGGGUUAAGGAUCGAUCCUUGUACACACUAUACCGCUGGCUAACAAUGAGGAACAUUUAUAUCAAUAAACGUCCGCAAAGAUUUUCUCUUUUCCACAACGCUCUGCAAGGUCCCUUGCCCACUUUUAAAACUGAUUAGAAAACCCGUUGCAUUCACUACUUUGCUUUUUACCUGAUCACCAACCGAAAAAAAUAGAGAUAUUUUCAUUCCCGAAUUACUAUUAACUUCCCUCGUCUUUUUCAUUGGCGAUAAUUUAUGAGACAAUAAUUUUCAACAAUCUCAAAUCAGAGCCGUGAAUUGUAGGGUAUCUUUUGUUUUUUGAAUCAGGCUUUUGAAAUUUGCUUGUUAUGUCUUUGGGAAUGCAUGAAUAAUUUUAAUAAAUUGCAUAAUUAC